AACAAUGACGUCAUAAGAAAAUGGAAAAGGAGUGACUUCCCCCCCAGGCCUCAAGGUGCUGGAAGACAAAUGUGUUGCUUUCCUACUCCUUAUAUUCAUAGUUGCCACAGGGAUUCAGGCAGUGCCAAUUGAAUUUAGUGAUUGUCUAUGAAAAGAUGAAGUUUAUCGGUUUCUAUUUCUUGGAGAUGGAAGCUAGAGGAAGAGAUAGAGCCUAGGGAAAUCAAAGGGAACUUGGAAUUGAACUCAUGGAUGCUUGCUGGCAGGAGGAAGAAAUAGGAGAGCCUGGGAUUUUGGAUGGUUUAUGUGACCCUUACUUCCUAUCCUACCCUCCACAUUCAACUCAAUUAAUCUCAAGUUGAAACAGAUUUAUUUAUAUUUUCCAGAACAUUCUCGCGAUGUUGUCUUGAUUUGGGCCAGUUUCUAAGUGCUUUCUUUCCUUUUGUUUGAAAAGAAACAUGAGCCUCUGGUCCCUAUUAAAAAGGAAGAAAGCAUCAUGGAUAUCCAGCUUCCCUCCAGCUACCCCGAAUCUGAGCAGACUGCAUGACUCAUCUUUCCUAGAAACACAACAAUGAGGUCAUCCUGUCUGCUUCCUUCCCACUCUGAGUACAGUUGAAUUGGGUUCCUCUGUUCUUCCUCUGUUCUCAGAGAUUUUUUUUGAAAAGCCCUCUGCUUGUUAAAAUGCCAGAGUGUUGUUAUAUAAUUGGAAUACAGCAAGAAAGAACACUA